CCCUCCUCCGCUCUUGCUGAGUCUGGCCCUCCGUCUCUCUCUGUUACUACAACGUUCUUUCUUUUUUUAUUUUUCCUUAAGCGGGACUCACACGUCCCGCUCUUUCAUUUUUCUCCUUUAAGGAUUCCGUCACCAACAAAAUCUUCCUUUUUUUCCAUCAGCCGUGGACCACAAAACCAGCGCUUUUUCCAUACGCUUGCUGAACCUUGAAUCAAACCCAUUCAGAGACAGAGAGUUUUGAUUUUAGUUUACAUUUGAAACGGCAGAGAGAAAGAUGCUGGAAUUCUGGCGAAGGCCAUUAGAGACAUGCUUUGGUGCAGGAGGAAGCGAUGCACUUCUCUGGCAUACGGGCUUGAAGCCCCACGCUUUAGGUGAAUAUUCAAUUGCCAUAGUUCAAGCUAACUCGUCUCUGGAAGACCAAGGUCAAGUUCUUACCUCUCCAUCUGCAACUUUUGUUGGGAUAUAUGACGGACAUGGCGGCCCCGAAGCUUCCCGUUUCAUCACCAACAAUCUCUUCCCCAUUCUCCAGAAGUUCGCUUCUGAAGAAGGUGGGCUAUCGGAGGACGUGAUAAAGAAAUCCUUUAAUGAAACUGAAGAGGAAUUCUUAAAGUUCGUGAAGCAAUCAUUGACUACUCGGCCGCAGGUUGCUUCAGUGGGCUCAUGCUGUCUUGUUGGGGUGAUUUCAAACAACGUUCUUUAUGUUGCUAAUCUCGGGGAUUCGAGGGCAGUUCUGGGUAGGAAAGUUAACUGUUCUGUCGUGGCAGAACGUUUAUCCACUGAUCAUAAUGUUGCGGUGGAAGAGAUUAGAAAGGAAGUUAUGGCACUUCACCCCGAUGAUGCUCACGUUGUGGUUUACACUCAGGGCGUUUGGAGAAUCAAGGGCAUUAUUCAGGUUUCAAGAUCAAUUGGAGAUGCUUUUCUAAAGAAACCUGAGUUUAACAGAGAUCCUCUGUUCCAACAAUUUGGAUACCUGUUGCCUUUAAAGCGGCCUGUAAUGACAGCUGAACCAUCCAUAUUGACUCGAAAGUUAAAGCCAGACGACAUGUUCUUAAUAUUUGCAUCUGACGGGCUUUGGGAGCAUUUGACAGAUGAAGCUGCCGUUGACAUCAUCUUCAAAAAUCCAAGACCAGGAAUAGCGAAACGAUUGGUGAGAGCUGCAGUAGAAGAGGCUGCAAGGAAAAAAGAGAUGAGAUAUAAGGAUUUAAUAAGAGUUGAGAAAGGUGUUAGGCGCCAUUUUCAUGAUGAUAUUACAGUGAUCGUCAUGUACUUGGAUCAUUCACAGGAUUCAGUAAGCGGGUUGAAACGUCAUGGCGUUUAUGACUGUACUGAUGCUCCUGUUGAUAUCUUCUCUCUAAAUGCAGAUAAAGAUGAUCUCUAAGGUGAAAGAACCUUUGGCACUUUGGUCUUUGCCACCUUGUGUAUACCAAUUUCCACCUACGAAGAACUAGGGUUGUUGGUGAGGACCUCUGGUUGGCUAAUUGGUACUGCAUUUGAGGGGUAAGGAUGUGUAGGGAAAAGGUGUCCGGGGGAAACUUUUUUUUCCCACAUGCUUAUCUUUUGGUUGCUUGUUUAUUCUUCAUCAGGAAGCAGCUGGAAGGGACGAGGAUUUCCCUUGCAAACGUAUGAAUCGAACCUCUUUCAUAAAUUCAUGUUACAAACUUAAUGGACUCCCUUUAUUUUUUAUGUCCUUGAAAAUGUUAGAGAUGCAAUUUCAAGAAUGACGUAUUAAUAUGUAGGAGAACACGUAUAUAUCCUUUCCGCUGGAAAAUGUGGCAGAACCCUGAACUUUACUAGGCUCCUUCAUUAUAGGGAUCGAGCCUUGUAUGCCUUACCGGGCUUGUUCCGCUCAAGCCAUAUUUGUGUGUC